GAUGAACGCUGGCGGCGUGCCUAAUACAUGCAAGUCGAGCGAACAGAUGAGGAGCUUGCUCCUCUGACGUUAGCGGCGGACGGGUGAGUAACACGUGGAUAACCUACCUAUAAGACUGGGAUAACUUCGGGAAACCGGAGCUAAUACCGGAUAAUAUAUUGAACCGCAUGGUUCAAUAGUGAAAGACGGUUUUGCUGUCACUUAUAGAUGGAUCCGCGCCGCAUUAGCUAGUUGGUAAGGUAACGGCUUACCAAGGCAACGAUGCGUAGCCGACCUGAGAGGGUGAUCGGCCACACUGGAACUGAGACACGGUCCAGACUCCUACGGGAGGCAGCAGUAGGGUAUCUUCCGCAAAGGGCGAAAGCCUGACGGAGCAACGCCGCGUGAGUGAUGAAGGUCUUCGGAUCGUAAAACUCUGUUAUUAGGGAAGAACAAAUGUGUAAGUAACUAUGCACGUCUUGACGGUACCUAAUCAGAAAGCCACGGCUAACUACGUG
rnacentral:rRNA from 1 species